rnacentral:rRNA from 1 species
GUGGGGAAUUUUGGACAAUGGGCGCAAGCCUGAUCCAGCAAUGCCGCGUGCAGGAAGAAGGCCUUCGGGUUGUAAACUGCUUUUGUACGGAACGAAACGGUCCUGGUUAAUACCUGGGGCUAAUGACGGUACCGUAAGAAUAAGCACCGGCUAACUACGUGCCAGCAGCCGCGGUAAUACGUAGGGUGCGAGCGUUAAUCGGAAUUACUGGGCGUAAGCGUGCGCAGGCGGUGCUGUAAGACAGGCGUGAAAUCCCCGGGCUCAACCUGGGAAUUGCGCUUGUGACUGCAGUGCUGGAGUACGGCAGAGGGGGAUGGAAUUCCGCGUGUAGCAGUGAAAUGCGUAGAUAUGCGGAGGAACACCGAUGGCGAAGGCAGUCCCCUGGGCCUGUACUGACGCUCAUGCACGAAAGCGUGGGGAGCAAACAGGAUUAGAAACCCGAGUAGUCC